CCUACGGGAGGCUGCAGUGGGGAAUAUUGCACAAUGGGCGCAAGCCUGAUGCAGCCAUGCCGCGUGUGUGAAGAAGGCCUUCGGGUUGUAAAGCACUUUCAGCGGGGAGGAAGGCGUUAAGGUUAAUAACCUUGUCGAUUGACGUUACCCGCAGAAGAAGCACCGGCUAACUCCGUGCCAGCAGCCGCGGUAAUACGGAGGGGGCAAGCGUUAAUCGGAAUUACUGGGCGUAAAGCGCACGCAGGCGGUCUGUCAAGUCGGAUGUGAAAUCCCCGGGCUCAACCUGGGAACGGCAUUCGAAACUGGCAGGCUAGAGUCUUGUAGAGGGGGGUAGAAUUCCAGGUGUAGCGGUGAAAUGCGUAGAGAUCUGGAGGAAUACCGGUGGCGAAGGCGGCCCCCUGGACAAAGACUGACGCUCAGGUGCGAAAGCGUGGGGAGCAAACAGGAUUAGAUACCCUAGUAGUC
rnacentral:rRNA from 1 species